rnacentral:rRNA from 1 species
UGGGGAAUAUUGCACAAUGGGCGCAAGCCUGAUGCAGCCAUGCCGCGUGUAUGAAGAAGGCCUUCGGGUUGUAAAGUACUUUCAGCAGUGAGGAAGGUGGGUAUGUUAAUAGCAUACUCAUUUGACGUUAGCUGCAGAAGAAGCACCGGCUAACUCCGUGCCAGCAGCCGCGGUAAUACGGAGGGUGCGAGCGUUAAUCGGAAUUACUGGGCGUAAAGCGCAUGCAGGUGGUUUGUUAAGUCAGAUGUGAAAGCCCGGGGCUCAACCUCGGAAUUGCAUUUGAAACUGGCAAACUAGAGUACUGUAGAGGGGGUAGAAUUUCAGGUGUAGCGGUGAAAUGCGUAGAGAUCUGAAGGAAUACCGGUGGCGAAGGCGGCCCCCUGGACAGAUACUGACACUCAGAUGCGAAAGCGUGGGGAGCAAACAGGAUUAGAUACCCUGGUAG